rnacentral:rRNA from 1 species
GACGAACGCUGGCGGCGUGCUUAACACAUGCAAGUCGAACGGAAAGGCCUCUUUCGGGGGGUACUCGAGUGGCGAACGGGUGAGUAACACGUGAGUAACCUGCCCUUGACUUUGGGAUAACUUCAGGAAACUGGGGCUAAUACCGGAUAGGAGCUCCUGCUGCAUGGUGGGGGUUGGAAAGUUUCGGCGGUUGGGGAUGGGCUCGCGGCUUAUCAGCUUGUUGGUGGGGUAGUGGCUUACCAAGGCUUUGACGGGUAGCCGGCCUGAGAGGGUGACCGGCCACAUUGGGACUGAGAGACGGCCCAGACUCCUACGGGAGGCAGCAGUGGGGAAUAUUGCACAAUGGGUGGAAGCCUGAUGCAGCAACGCCGUGUGCGGGAUGACGGCCUUCGGGUUGGAAACCGCUUUCGCUCAUGACGAAGCUUUGUGUGACGGUAGUGGGUAAAGAAGCACCGGCUAACUACGUG